rnacentral:piRNA from 1 species
UAGCUUGUUUGACUUGGACAGUUGA